rfam:Lyngbya majuscula 3L genomic scaffold scf45916, whole genome shotgun sequence.
UUCAUACUCGCCAAAUGGUAAGGCACUUGAUUCUGUUCAAGUAUAUACGGGUUCAAAUCCCGUGUGUGAAA